GACGAACGCUGGCGGCGUGCUUAACACAUGCAAGUCGAACGGAAAGGCCCUUCGGGGUACUCGAGUGGCGAACGGGUGAGUAACACGUGGGUGAUCUGCCCUGCACUUUGGGAUAAGCCUGGGAAACUGGGUCUAAUACCGAAUAGGACCACGCGCUUCAUGGUGUGUGGUGGAAAGCUUUUGCGGUGUGGGAUGGGCCCGCGGCCUAUCAGCUUGUUGGUGGGGUAAUGGCCUCCCAAGGCGACGACGGGUAGCCGGCCUGAGAGGGUGACCGGCACCACUGGGACUGCGAUACGGCCCAGACUCCUACGGGAGGCAGCAGUGGGGAAUAUUGCACAAUGGGCGCAAGCCUGAUGCAGCGACGCCGCGUGAGGGAUGACGGCCUUCGGGUUGUAAACCUCUUUCAAUAGGGACGAAGCGCAAGUGACGGUACCUAUAGAAGAAGCACCGGCCAACUACGUG
rnacentral:rRNA from 1 species